UACGUAGGGUGCGAGCGUUGUCCGGAAUUAUUGGGCGUAAAGGGCUCGUAGGCGGUUUGUCGCGUCGGGAGUGAAAACCAGGUGCUUAACACCUGGCUUGCUUUCGAUACGGGCAGACUGGAGGUAUGCAGGGGAGAACGGAAUUCCUGGUGUAGCGGUGAAAUGCGCAGAUAUCAGGAGGAACACCGGUGGCGAAGGCGGUUCUCUGGGCAUUACCUGACGCUGAGGAGCGAAAGUGUGGGGAGCGAACAGGAUUAGAAACCCCUGUAGUCC
rnacentral:rRNA from 1 species